GAUGAACGCUGGCGGCGUGCCUAAUACAUGCAAGUCGAGCGAACGGACGAGAAGCUUGCUUCUCUGAUGUUAGCGGCGGACGGGUGAGUAACACGUGGAUAACCUACCUAUAAGACUGGGAUAACUUCGGGAAACCGGAGCUAAUACCGGAUGAUAUUUUGAACCGCAUGGUUCAAAAGUGAAAGACGGUCUUGCUGUCACUUAUAGAUGGAUCCGCGCUGCAUUAGCUAGUUGGUAAGGUAACGGCUUACCAAGGCAACGAUGCAUAGCCGACCUGAGAGGGUGAUCGGCCACACUGGAACUGAGACACGGUCCGGACUCCUAGGGGAGGCAGCAGUAGGGAAUCUUCCACAAUGGGCGAAAGCCUGACGGAGCAACGCCGCGUGAGUGAUGAAGGUCUUCGGAUCGUAAAACUCUGUUAUUAGGGAAGAACAUAUGUGUAAGUAACUGUGCACAUCUUGACGGUACCUAAUCAGAAAGCCACGGAUAACUACGU
rnacentral:rRNA from 1 species